UCCGUUUUUCGUGCCUUCAGCCAUGCUUAUACGACGCUGUCAGUACUAAUACUGGCUUAUCUCUCUAGCUUUGUAAGAUUAACUUAAAUUAGAGAAAAAAGUAUAUUGUUUACAAAUAAAAGCUCCAUAUUUCCUGCUUUCCGCGUCGAAGACAACCCACACAAAUCCACGAACAUAUUGGAGACAUUAAGCCUGACAAACAUCCUGCUGACGGCAGACGGUCACACACAACUGGCUGAUUUUGGCUCCUGUCUCUGCGUGGAGGAUGAUGGACCGUCCAAAAGUGUGGGCGCCAGGCGACUACUACACACAUAGUGAAGCUGUCAGUGAUAAUCGAGGUGGCUGGAGUCCCGUCCAACAUUCACACGUCCUCACACGUCCCCUGCAAACAGGGAGCAGGUUACUGGAAUAUGCAUUCUGGGAAAUGAGGUAUGCCGCUGCGUUGGUGGUCUCGUGGGGCGACGGCUGGCCUCGGGCUGAAUGUUCACGCUGCCAUGACGGUGACCCUCCUUGCCUUACGUUCAGCUAAUUUAAACGCGAGCAGUCGCAGUUUUCCAUCACAGGCACAGAUCCAUCUGAAUGCUGAAGCUGUGUUUCCGACGGUCAGGCUUUGAUGGCCUCUCUGUCACGCCGUGUUUCUACCGGCAUCUGCAUUCCAGCGGCAGACGGACGGGUCACCGCUGGGACCGUCUGACAGAGGCGCGCGCGGUCCUCCUCCACCGUCUGUCAGCGUCACCGGUCUGUUUGAAUAUGCUGCUUGAUCCGUCACUGUCAGGCCGCUCGCGCUUCUGCAUGCGCCGUACGCUCCUCUGCUGGGAAGCUGCACGCGCCGCUUUAAUGCACGAAACGCAUCAGGUUGUCAGUGAGUGUUUGGGAAGGACGAGCCGUGCCGUCUCUCCUCCUGAUGGGAAUGAUGAACCGUGGUUCACAACACCACUAACUCGUUUAUAAAACCUUGAUGUGUUUUUGAUGGUGAAAUACAUUCUGGUAUACCAAUUUCAUGCAGAGACUAUUGGAAAGCCAUUCAUAGACUGUGAAUGAUUCCUGUGAAGUGUACACAAGGACUGUUGCAGCUCCACCAUUCAAAACUGAUCAAACAUUUUUCUUUGUGAGAGAAUUUUAUUUUAUUUUAUUUUUUUUAUUUUAUUACACUGGGCUACUGGACUAUUCAAAAACAGGCAUUUCUGUAGGGUUAUUUGGAGUAUGCAAUUAUACCUUGUUUUUAAACAAUAUUUAUUUUAUUUUAUUCAUUACACUGGGACAUUUUAU